rnacentral:rRNA from 1 species
GAAUUUCGGGGUUAGUAGGUUGGCCAUGCCUCUGGUAUGUACUGGUCUCACUGAUUCCUCCUUCCUUAUGAACCGUAAUGCCAUUAAUUUGGUGUUGCGGGGAAUUUGGACUGUUACUUUGAAAAAAUUAGAGUGUUUAAAGCAAGCUAACGCUUGAAUACAUUAGCAUGGAAUAAUGAAAUAGGACGUUCGAUCUUAUUUUGUUGGUUUCUAGGAUUGACGUAAUGAUUAAUAGGGAUAGUUGGGGGCAUUAGUAUUCAAUUGUCAGAGGUGAAAUUCUUGGAUUUAUUGAAGACUAACUACUGCGAAAGCAUUUGCCAAGGAUGUUUUCAUUAAUCAAGAACGAAAGUUAGGGGAUCGAAGACGAUCAGAUACCGUCGUAGUCUUAACCAUAAACUAUGCCGACUAGGGAUCGGAUGA